rfam:Flavobacterium sp. CF136 PMI10_contig112.112, whole genome shotgun sequence.
AUGGAGGAAGCCGAAAAGCCAAAAAGAGUAGGUA